AUGCGCGCCCUCCCCCAGAAGGCUGGGACGCCGAGGGGCGCGCGCCCCUCUCCGCGCGCGCACGCUCGCUCGCUCGCCCGCCCGCCGCUCGUUCGCGCGGGCCGGAGGCUUCCCGCCUGCGCUCCGGGUCGGAGCCACUCCGGCGCGUGCGCGCGUGGUCUCGGGCCGACCCGAGUGGCCGGGUUCCCUCGGCUCCAGGCCCCCCGCCGCCCCUCCCGCCUCCCAGCCAACCGGUUCCGUUCCUCCCUUUCCUCACGGAAUGGGGCCGGCGCUGCUCGGGGUCGCGCGCCCUGGACCCGGCUCGCGCUCGGUCUCGCGCUGUCAGCCUCUGCCUGGCUCGCGCCGCCUUGCGCUUUCCCUCAGUCAGUGGCGCCGAAGGCUCCGUUAAGCAGCGGCCGCGGUUCCUGUUUCCGUUUCUUCCUCUCCCUUCAGUCGGGGAGUAGCAUCCUCCACUCCGCCACCCCUCCCACUCGCCCGGCGCGGCCAGCUGCAGUGGCUGUGGCGACGGGGGACGGCGCCGACCGCCUCGCUCCCGCCUCGGCUGAGAUAGCCACAGUAGUUAUGUAUGCCUUCUCAACAUGUUAGAUCUGGAAGCAUGUGAGUACUGUUACAGUGAUGGUAAUUUUAAUUAUCUGCCAUUUUUCUUUGUAAUUAACAAACACCUUGUGAGGAAAUACUUGACACUAUGUAAAUGUCUGGUUUCCCAGUGGACUUUGUUAUUCUGAAAUGGGAAUUUCUAUUGAUCUCUGGUUCACUAUUUUUGUAUAGCAUCUUCAGUUUGCUCUUAAGCCUAUGCAAUUUAUUUAAAAAUAUUUUUUAUUUUUAUAUGUAUGACUGUUUUCCCUGCAUAUUUAUUUUUAUUGUAUAGUGAUAGGAGAAUAUAGCUUGUUUUUCUACUUUAUUAAAUUUACUGAGACUUAUGACCUUAAAUAUGUCAGUUCUUGUGACUACGUCUUAUCUUAAAAUGAGGUUAUUUGGAGUAUAAAGUUCAGGUUCAUAAAUUGAAUAUAAUAGUAUCUUGUUUAUUGAUUAUAUCAUUUACAUCUUAUGUUAUUUUAUCAAAUAUUCAGUUUCUCUUAAUUUCUCAUUGCAUCUGGUAUAGAUUUUUACUUUUUAAGGCUUGUGACUAUGCUAUUGGAUGAAUAGAAAAUAUUUAGAUGAGACAUGAAUUAGCGUAGGUAAUAUAAUAUUACACAUUUGUCUAGACUAAAUUUUUUCUUUUUGUG
rnacentral:lncRNA from 1 species